UAAUGGGUCAGCGACUUAUAUUCUGUAGCAAGGUUAACCGAAUAGGGGAGCCGGAGGGAAACCGAGUCUUAACCGGGCGUUAAGUUGCAGGGUAUAGACCCGAAACCCGGUGAUCUAGCCAUGGGCAGGUUGAAGGUUGGGUAACACUAACUGGAGGACCGAACCGACUAAUGUUGAAAAAUUAGCGGAUGACCUGUGGCUGGGGGUGAAAGGCCAAUCAAACCGGGAGAUAGCUGGUUCUCCCCGAAAGCUAUUUAGGUAGCGCCUCGUGAAUUCAUCUCCGGGGGUAGAGCACUGUUUCGGCUAGGGGGCCAUCCCGGCUUACCAACCCGAUGCAAACUGCGAAUACCGGAGAAUGUUAUCACGGGAGACACACGGCGGGUGCUAACGUCCGUCGUGAAGAGGGAAACAACCCAGACCGCCAGCUAAGGUCCCAAAGUCAUGGUUAAGUGGGAAACGAUGUGGGAAGGCCCAGACAGCCAGGAUGUUGGCUUAGAAGCAGCCAUCAUUUAAAGAAAGCGUAAUAGCUCACUGGUCGAGUCGGCCUGCGCGGAAGAUGUAACGGGGCUAAACCAU
rnacentral:rRNA from 1 species